CAGCCGCCGCGGGAAUACGUAGGUCCCGAGCGUUGUCCGGAUUUAUUGGGCGUAAAGCGAGCGCAGGCGGUUAGAUAAGUCUGAAGUUAAAGGCUGUGGCUUAACCAUAGUACGCUUUGGAAACUGUUUAACUUGGGUGCAAGAGGGGAGAGUGGAAUUCCAUGUGUAGCGGUGAAAUGCGUAGAUAUAUGGAGGAACACCGGUGGCGAAAGCGGCUCUCUGGCUUGUAACUGACGCUGAGGCUCGAAAGCGUGGGGCGCAAACAGGAUUAGAUACCCCCGUAGUCCCUGUCUCUUAUACA
rnacentral:rRNA from 1 species